rnacentral:lncRNA from 1 species
AGCAAAAGUAAUCCCUUCACUCACCUUGGGUGUGGGGGCGGGGGCCAGGGGGUCAUGGUGAGGGACAAGGAUACUGAUUUAAAAAGAAACCCAAAAUGAAGCUUGGGAGCUACCAAUGCAAUGUGGUUUUGAUCAGGAACGCACAACAGCUCGUGCCUCGGACUGUAUCUGGGUAUAACCUUUGUCAGAGUUUGGCUCGUUGGUUUUAGAUAAUGUAACAUAAGCUCAGGAUAACAGCUUUCCCGCUAUGUGGACACAACUGAGAAGGGGACUGAGUUUAAACCUUCAAAUCCUACAGCAGAGAGGAGCUUGACUCUACCUUAGAGAAUAGAGCAGGUGUCCAAAACCAGAAGGCAGUCGGCACUCCAGUACCUACCUACUUGUCUCCUUGUUGGCCUGGCACACAACCUGGGAAUUCAGUAAUAUCUGUGGAGCUGGAUGGAAUGUUCGAUGGAAAAAAGACCCAACUCCUGACGGGGGUGUGGAGUCUAGAGCUGACUUCCUCCUCUCCUCCCUUCCACUCCCUCUCGCAGCUCCCUAAGUCUUCCAGGACAGCAUGAGGCUUUCACCUCACAAGACCUUACCAGAAUCAUCUGUGCUCUAAAAGGCAGGGCCAGCCCAGUUUGUUCAUUGAGGGAAGUGGGAUCUGAAACAGGGGAUUUGCAGGAGGCUGUCCAGAAGACUUCACCGACAACGGAACCCUCGGACGGACGUUAUGCAUAUGAUGAAAGGUUCCAAGGGCAGGAACCCUUUUCUGAUGAAACCCCUGAAUGUUCAGCCAAAAUAAAGAGCACCAAUAGCUGAUGGCCAAAGAAUGGAAGAGGUGUGUUCAAGAGAAAUUUCCUGAAAGGUAAGAUCAGAACUCUCAUUCAGAUAUAAAGUGGACACAUGCUAAACAUCUUAUUUAACUCAGUAAUCACUGAGGGACUCGGGCAGCUGUUACAACAGUUUCAAAAGAAAAUCUGAAGAACACACCCAGGAUAGGUCGGGAAUAAUGAAAUGAGUGUGUGAAGGAGGCGAAAGUGAUUGCUUGUCAUGAGGGAAAGGACAAUCAGUUGAGCCAUUACCAGACAGGAUAGAAUUUGCAUGUCUAUA